rnacentral:rRNA from 1 species
GAUGAACGCUGGCGGCGUGCCUAAUACAUGCAAGUCGAGCGAACAGAUAAGGAGCUUGCUCCUUUGAAGUUAGCGGCGGACGGGUGAGUAACACGUGGGUAACCUACCUAUAAGACUGGGAUAACUUCGGGAAACCGGAGCUAAUACCGGAUAACAUUUAGAACCGCAUGGUUCUAAAGUGAAAGAUGGUUUUGCUAUCACUUAUAGAUGGACCCGCGCCGUAUUAGCUAGUUGGUAAGGUAACGGCUUACCAAGGCGGCGAUACGUAGCCGACCUGAGAGGGUGAUCGGCCACACUGGAACUGAGACACGGUCCAGACUCCUACGGGAGGCAGCAGUAGGGAAUCUUCCGCAAUGGGCGAAAGCCUGACGGAGCAACGCCGCGUGAGUGAUGAAGGGUUUCGGCUCGUAAAACUCUGUUAUUAGGGAAGAACAAAUGUGUAAGUAACUGUGCACAUCUUGACGGUACCUAAUCAGAAAGCCACGGCUAACUACGUG